rnacentral:rRNA from 1 species
GUGCCUUCGGGAACUGGAACACAGGUGCUGCAUGGCUGUCGUCAGCUCGUGUCGUGAGAUGUUGGGUUAAGUCCCGCAACGAGCGCAACCCUUGUCAUUAGUUGCCAUCAUUGGGUUGGGCACUCUAAUGAGACUGCCGGUGACAAACCGGAGGAAGGUGGGGAUGACGUCAAGUCCUCAUGGCCCUUAUGGGUAGGGCUUCACACGUCAUACAAUGGUCGGUACAGAGGGUUGCCAAGCCGCGAGGUGGAGCCAAUCCCAGAAAGCCGAUCGUAGUCCGGAUCGCAGUCUGCAACUCGACUGCGUGAAGUCGGAAUCGCUAGUAAUCGCGGAUCAGCAUGUCGCGGUGAAUACGUUCCCGGGUCUUGUACACACCGCCCGUCACACCAUGGGAGUGGGUUCCACCAGAAGUAGGUAGCCUAACCGCAAGGAGGGCGCUUACCACGGUGGGGUUCAUGACUGGGGUGAAGUCGUAACAAGGUAGCCG